rnacentral:piRNA from 1 species
UGUGAUGUCCUCCUGAGUUUCAGUCCCAU